rnacentral:rRNA from 1 species
AGAGUUUGAUCCUGGCUCAGAACGAACGCUGGCGGCGUGCUUAACACAUGCAAGUCGAGUGCGCGCCUGUAGCAAUACAGGUGGCGCACGGCGCACGGGUGCGUAACACGUGGGUAAUCUGCCCUCUGAUGGGGAAUAACUCGCCGAAAGGCGAGCUAAUUCCGCAUAACAUUCCGGGAACCUUGGUUCUUGGACUCAAAGGCGCAAGUCGUCGGAGGAGGAGCCCGCGCACGAUUAGCUAGUUGGUGAGGUAAUGGCUCACCAAGGCUAUGAUCGUUAGCUGGUCUGAGAGGAUGGCCAGCCACACUGGAACUGAGACACGGUCCAGACUCCUACGGGAGGCAGCAGUGGGGAAUCUUGCACAAUGGGCGAAAGCCUGAUGCAGCGGCGCCGCGUGGGGGAUGAAGCUUCUCGGAGUGUAAACCCCUUUCGACCCGGACGAAUACCUCGCAAGAGGGGUGACGGUACGGGUAUAAGAAGCCCCGGCUAACUACGUGCCAGCAGCCGCGGUAAGACGUAGGGGGCCAGCGUUGUUCGGAAUUACUGGGUGUAAAGGGUUCGUAGGCGGUGUGGCAAGUCGGGAGUGAAAUCUCUGGGCUCAACCCAGAGUCUGCUUCCGAAACUGCUGUGCUUGAGUGUGGGAGAGGCGCGUGGAAUUGCAGGUGUAGCGGUGAAAUGCGUAGAUAUCUGCAGGAACACCCGUGGCGAAAGCGGCGCGCUGGACCACUACUGACGCUGAGGAACGAAAGCUAGGGGAGCAAACAGGAUUAGAUACCCCAGUAGUCC